rnacentral:rRNA from 1 species
GGUGAACGCUGGCGGCGUGCCUAAGACAUGCAAGUCGAGCGGGCCGCGGGGUUUUACUCCGUUGUCAGCGGCGGACGGGUGAGUAACGCGUGGGUGACCUACCCGGAAUAGGGGGACAACCCGGGGAAACUCGGGCUAAUCCCCCAUGUGGUCCCGCCCCUUGGGGUGUGUCCAAAGGGCUUUGGCCGCUUUCGGGUGGGCCCGCGUCCCAUCAGCUAGUUGGUGGGGUAAUGGACCACCAAGGCGUCCACGGGUAGCCGGCCUGAGAGGGUGGCCGGCCAGAGGGGGCCUGAGACCCGGGACCCACUCCUAAGGGGGGCAGGAGUUAGGAGUCUUCAGCAAUGCGCGCAAGCCGGACGGAGCGACGCCGCGUGGAGGAAGAAGCAGUUCGGGGUGUAAACUGCUGAACCCGGGAAGAAACCCCCGACGAGGGGACUGACGGUACCGGGGUAAUAGCGCCGGCCAACUACGUG